rnacentral:lncRNA from 1 species
AUUAACCCAAAAUUCAGUGGUCAAGCCAAUCCACACCUUGAGCAAAACCUCGUCACCCCCGUCACCUGUACAAUUUCUCAUCACUCUUCUCGCUAAUGAAAUACCAGGAUUCCUUUUACAACUAUCAUCAGCGUUAGUCUUUCAUGCAGCCAUUAGGUGGGGAAUUAGCUACACCUUAUAAGAAUCUCACGACUAGGAUGAAGAAUAUCACGUUGAAGACCGCACCAUGCUUCAUAUUCGUUGGCGAUGAAUAGACGAGAUCCACUUAAAUGCCAAGACAAAGAAAUCAUCAAACAAGAUGCAAUUUUCCCGAUGCCAAAUUAUCCAGUAAGCCUUAUAGUCUGGAGAUAUUCCUUUUGAUCUUAUUGUAAAUAGUCCUAAUAUCAAACUAUUUUUCAUUUUUCAAAACAUUUCAUCGAAUUAAUAACUUUAACUCUCAUAUAGACGUCUCGUGUCUCUGGUUGUAAAUUAUAAUAAAA